rnacentral:rRNA from 1 species
AGUGAACGCUGGCGGUAUGCCUAACACAUGCAAGUCGAACGGCAGCACAGUAAUAGCUUGCGCUGACGGGUGGCGAGUGGCGGACGGGUGAGGAAUACAUCGGAAUCUACUUUUUCGGGUGAGAUAAGGUAGGUAAACUUACUCUAAUAUCGCAUACGACCUACGGGUGAAAGCAUGGGAUCUUCUGACCGGGCGCGAUUGAAUGAGCCGAUGUCGGAUUAGCUAGUUGGCGGGGUAAAGGCCCACCAAUGCGACGAUCGGUAGCUGGUCUGAGAGGAUGGUCAGCCACACUGGAACUGAGACACGGCACAGAAUCUUACGUGAGGCAGAAGUGGGGAAGAGUGGAAAAUGUGCGGAAGCUUGCUCCAGCCACACCGCGUGGGUGCAGAAGGCCUUCGGGUGGUAAAGCCCUUUUGUUGGGAAAGAAAACCAGCAGGUUAAACCAACGCUGUUCUGACGGUACCGAAAGAAUAAGAACCGGCUAAUUCCGG